rnacentral:rRNA from 1 species
GAGUUUGAUCAUGGCUCAGGAUGAACGCUGGCGGCGUGCCUAAUACAUGCAAGUCGAACGAACAGAUAAGGAGCUUGCUCCUUUGACGUUAGCGGCGGACGGGUGAGUAACACGUGGGUAACCUACCUAUAAGACUGGAAUAACUCCGGGAAACCGGGGCUAAUGCCGGAUAACAUGUUGAACCGCAUGGUUCUACAGUGAAAGACGGUCUUGCUGUCACUUAUAGAUGGACCCGCGCCGUAUUAGCUAGUUGGUGGGUAACGGCCUACCAAGGCGACGAUACGUAGCCGACCUGAGAGGGUGAUCGGCCACACUGGAACUGAGACACGGUCCAGACUCCUACGGGAGGCAGCAGUAGGGAAUCUUCCGCAAUGGGCGAAAGCCUGACGGAGCAACGCCGCGUGAGUGAUGAAGGUCUUCGGAUCGUAAAGCUCUGUUGUUAGGGAAGACAAAUGUGUAGUAACUGUGCAUAUCUUGACGGUACCUAACCAGAAAGCCACGGCUAACUACGUGCCAGCAGCCGACCG